rnacentral:rRNA from 1 species
UCCGGAUUUAUUGGGUUUAAAGGGAGCGUAGGCCGGAGAUUAAGUGUGUUGUGAAAUGUAGACGCUCAACGUCUGACUUGCAGCGCAUACUGGUUUCCUUGAGUACGCACAACGUUGGCGGAAUUCGUCGUGUAGCGGUGAAAUGCUUAGAUAUGACGAAGAACUCCGAUUGCGAAGGCAGCUGACGGGAGCGCAACUGACGCUGAAGCUCGAAGGUGCGGGUAUCGAACAGGAUUAGAUACCCUGGUAGUCCGCACAGUAAACGAUGGAUGCCCGCUGUUGGUACCUAGUAUCAGCGGCUAAGCGAAAGCAUUAAGCAUCCCACCUGGGGAGUACGCCGGCAACGGUGAAACUCAAAGGAAUUGACGGGGGCCCGCACAAGCGGAGGAACAUGUGGUUUAAUUCGAUGAUACGCGAGGAACCUUACCCGGGCUUGAAUUGCAGAGGAAGGAUUUAGAGAUAA